AAUCAGUCUUCUGGGAAAUCUAAUCGCUUAACUAUUAGGCUUCCAGGGGAUACUGUUAGACUUGGGACCGGGAGAGGUAAGAGGUACUGCAGGGGUAGGAGUGAAAUCUUGUAAUCCCUGUGAGACCACCAGUGGCGAAGGCGUCUUACCAGAACGGGUCCGACGGUGAGGGACGAAAGCUGGGGGCACGAACCGGAUUAGAUACCCGGGUAGUCCCAGCUGUAAACGAUGCUCGUUAGGUGUCAGGAACGGUGCGACUGUUUCUGGUGCCGAAGGGAAGCCGUGAAACGAGCCACCUGGGAAGUACGGCCGCAAGGCUGAAACUUAAAGGAAUUGGCGGGGGAGCACUACAACGGGUGGAGCCUGCGGUUUAAUUGGACUCAACGCCGGAAAACUCACCGGGGGCGACAGCAAUAUGUAGGUCAGGUUAAAGGUCUUACCUGAAUCGCUGAGAGGAGGUGCAUGGCCGUCGUCAGUUCGUACUGUGAAGCAUCCUGUUAAGUCAGGCAACGAGCAAGACCCGUGCCCACUGUUACCAGCAUAUCCUUUAUGGAUGAUGGGGACUCUGUGGGGACCGCUGCUGCUAAAGCAGAGGAAGGUGCGGGCUACGGUAGGUCAGUAUGCCCCGAAUCUCCCGGGCUACACGCGGGCUACAAUGGUUGGGACAAUGGGUAUCUACUCCGAAAGGAGUUGGCAAUCUCUUAAACCCAAUCGUAGUUCGAAUUGAGGGCUGUAACUCGCCCUCAUGAAGCUGGAAUCCGUAGUAAUCGCGUUUCAACAUAGCGCGG
rnacentral:rRNA from 1 species